GACAGAGGGGGCAAGCGUUGCUCGGAAUUACUGGGCGUAAAGGGCGCGUAGGCGGGAUGGCAAGUCGGAUGUGAAAUCCCACGGCUCAACCGUGGAAGUGCAUUCGAAACUGCAGGCUAGAGUCCUGGAGAGGAAGGUGGAAUGCUUGGUGUAGAGGUGAAAUUCGUAGAUAUCAAGCGGAACACCGGUGGCGAAGGCGGCCUUCUGGACAGUGACUGACGCUGAGACGCGAAAGCGUGGGGAGCAAACAGG
rnacentral:rRNA from 1 species